AUACUAAAGCGUUAUCUCCCUGUGAACAGUAAAGGCCAUAUUGAUUUACUCUUUUGCCCCUUUUUGUUUCUUAAUUACGACACUGCCAUUCAACAUGUUGACGGUGAUAAGAGAGACCGGGAGAGAUGUCUUCUGGGUCUUUAACGAGAGGAAGAGGUCUUCUACGAGAUUACAGAGAGAAGAAAAGGGAUGUGAGAGGUCUUUUGCGAGAGACAUGCACAGAAAGAAGAAUAGGGAAAUUCACAUCGCGAGACUGAUCGGAGAGAGAAGGAGAAGAGGGAGACAAGAAGAAGAAGAAGAGGAAUCUAGAUUGCCCGACGUAGAGAGAAGGAGAAGUGCGUCGAUCAGGUCUUCCACAAGCGGAAGGAGUUUCUAGGUCUUUUACUUUUCCACUUCUACCAGAAGCCUGUACUAUUAUUUCUAUCUUCUUCAAUGAUGAUUGGUUUAAAUUCUGGGUGAUUGAAGUAAAUCAGACAUUGUAUACUAUUGAUAGAGAAGUAAAUUUUAGAUUUUGUUUCUUUUCAUGGAAUUUGAUGGUUUUUGGGUUUAAUUCUGUGGCUGUCUCUCUACCUUUGCUUUGCCUUUGCUA